rnacentral:rRNA from 1 species
GAUGAACGCUGACAGAAUGCUUAACACAUGCAAGUCGACUCGAGCCUUCGGACUUGGGUGGCGCACGGGUGAGUAACGCGUAAAGAACUUGCCUCUUAGACCGGGACAACAUCUGGAAACGGAUGCUAAUACCGGAUAUUAUGGUUUUUUCGCAUGGAGGAAUCAUGAAAGCUAGAUGCGCUAAGAGAGAGCUUUGCGUCCCAUUAGCUAGUUGGUGAGGUAACGGCUCACCAAGGCGACGAUCUGUAGCCGAACUGAGAGGUUGAUCGGCCGCAUUGGGACUGAGACACGGCCCAG